rnacentral:rRNA from 1 species
ACAAAUAUGAACCGGACUGGGAUAGGGCCUCGCUGCCUUGCCCGUCUGGCGCCAUAUUCACCCAUGUCUUUUUGCGUACUACUUGUUUCCUUGGCGGGUCCGCCCGCCAAUUGGACCUUAUUCAAACCUUUUUUUCAGUUGCAAUCAGCGUCAGCAAAACAAAUGUAAUCAAUUACAACUUUCAACAACGGAUCUCUUGGUUCUGGCAUCGAUGAAGAACGCAGCGAAAUGCGAUAAGUAGUGUGAAUUGCAGAAUUCAGUGAAUCAUCGAAUCUUUGAACGCACAUUGCGCCCUUUGGUAUUCCAAAGGGCAUGCCUGUUCGAGCGUCAUUUGUACCCUCAAGCUUUGCUUGGUGUUGGGCGUCUUGUCUCUCUCCCGAGACUCGCCUUAAAAUCAUUGGCAGCCGGCCUACUGGUUUCGGAGCGCAGCACAUUAUUUGCGCUCUUGUCCAGCCGCGGUCGCGCGUCCAUGAAGCUUCUUUCAACCUUUUGACCUCGGAUCAGGUAGGGAUACCCGCUGAACUUAAGCAU